CACUCCUACGGGAGGCAGCAGUGGGGAAUUUUGGACAAUGGGCGAAAGCCUGAUCCAGCCAUGCCGCGUGCAGGAUGAAGGCCUUCGGGUUGUAAACUGCUUUUGUACGGAACGAAACGGCCUUUUCUAAUAAAGAGGGCUAAUGACGGUACCGUAAGAAUAAGCACCGGCUAACUACGUGCCAGCAGCCGCGGUAAUACGUAGGGUGCAAGCGUUAAUCGGAAUUACUGGGCGUAAAGCGUGCGCAGGCGGUUAUGUAAGACAGUUGUGAAAUCCCCGGGCUCAACCUGGGAACUGCAUCCGUGACUGCAUAGCUAGAGUACGGUAGAGGGGGAUGGAAUUCCGCGUGUAGCAGUGAAAUGCGUAGAUAUGCGGAGGAACACCGAUGGCGAAGGCAAUCCCCUGGACCUGUACUGACGCUCAUGCACGAAAGCGUGGGGAGCAAACAGGAUUAGAUACCCGAGUAGUCCCA
rnacentral:rRNA from 1 species